GACGAACGCUGGCGGCGUGCUUAACACAUGCAAGUCGAACGGAAAGGCCCUGCUUUUGUGGGGUGCUCGAGUGGCGAACGGGUGAGUAACACGUGAGUAACCUGCCCUUGACUUUGGGAUAACUUCAGGAAACUGGGGCUAAUACCGGAUAGGAGCUCCUGCUGCAUGGUGGGGGUUGGAAAGUUUCGGCGGUUGGGGAUGGACUCGCGGCUUAUCAGCUUGUUGGUGGGGUAGUGGCUUACCAAGGCUUUGACGGGUAGCCGGCCUGAGAGGGUGACCGGCCUCAAUGGGACUGAGAUACGGCCCAGACUCCUACGGGAGGCAGCAGUCGGGAAUAUUGCACAAUGGGGGGAAGCCUGAUGCAGCAACGCCGCGUGCGGGAUGACGGGCUUCGGGUUGUAAACCGCUUUCGCCUGUGACGAAGCGUGAGUGACGGUAAUGGGUAAAGAAGCACCGGCUAACUACGUG
rnacentral:rRNA from 1 species